rnacentral:rRNA from 14 species
AUGGAGAGUUUGAUCCUGGCUCAGGACGAACGCUGGCGGCGUGCUUAACACAUGCAAGUCGAACGAGAGGUUUUUAAAGAUUUUUCUUAAAAAACUGAAAGUGGCGGACGGGUGAGUAACACGUGAGAAUCUGCCUUUAGGAAAGGGACAACAUUUGGAAACGAAUGCUAAUACCUUAUAUGCCUAUUAUAACUUGUAUAAUUAAUAGGUGAAAAGUUUUCUGCCUAGAGAGGAGCUCGCGGCUGAUUAGCUAGUUGGUGGGGUAAUGGCCUACCAAGGCGACGAUCAGUAACUGAUUUGAGAGGAUGAUCAGUCACACUGGAACUGAGACACGGUCCAGACUCCUACGGGAGGCAGCAGUGGGGAAUUUUCUGCAAUGGGCGAAAGCCUGACAGAGCAAUACCGCGUGAGGGAUGACAGUCCUAUGGAUUGUAAACCUCUUUUUUCAGGGAGGAAGUUCUGACGUUACCUGAAGAAUAAGCAUCGGCUAACUCCGUGCCAGCAGCCGCGGUAAUACGGAGGAUGCAAGCGUUAUCCGGAAUCAUUGGGUUUAAAGGGUCCGUAGGCGGACGAUUAAGUCAGGGGUGAAAGUU